ensembl:snoRNA LOC120103350 small nucleolar RNA SNORA40
AGGACUUAUGUGUUUGUUGAACUGGCACAAAGACUUAUUAGACAAGUGCAAAAGUAAAUGGUCUUCUGCAACCCAGAAAUCAUUGUUCGGUGUGAGUACUAACACAUACAGGAGAGAUUGUU